UCCGCAGGCGGGGAUUCAGGUCAGAUGUGAAAGCCCGGGGCUCAACCCCGGAACUGCAUUUGAAACCGGAUCCCUUGAGUACGGGAGAGGGAAGCGGAAUUCCUGGUGUAGAGGUGAAAUUCGUAGAUAUCAGGAGGAACACCAGCGGCGAAAGCGGCUUCCUGGCCCGAUACUGACGCUCAUGGACGAAAGCGUGGGGAGCAAACA
rnacentral:rRNA from 1 species